rnacentral:misc_RNA from 1 species
GAAAUGCGAUAAGUAAUGUGAAUUGCAGAAUUCAGUGAAUCAUCGAAUCUUUGAACGCACCUUGCGCCCCUUGGCUAUUCCGAGGGGCAUGCCUGUUUGAGUAUCAUGAACACCUCAACUCUAACGGUUCACCCGUGACGAGCUUGGACUUCUGGAGGUUUUGCUGGCCUGUGGUCGGCUCCUCUCAAAUGGAUCAGCUUACCAGUGUUUGGUGGCGCCAUGGGUGUGAUAACUAUCUACGCCUGCGGCCGUCUGCUAGGAGACCUUCAGUGAUGGGGGUUUGCUGGGGCUUACAAAUGUCUCUCCUCAGCGAGGACAGCUUUUUGAACGUUCGAUCUCAAAUCAGGUAGGACUACCCGCUGAACUUAA